GAUGAAGAACGCAGCGAAAGGCGAUAAGUAAUGUGAAUUACAGAAUUCAGUGAAUCAUCGAAUCUUUGAACGCACAUUGCGCCCGUCAGUAUUCUGGCGGGCAUGCCUGUUCGAGCGUCAUUACGCCCCUCAAGUCCCCUGUGGACUUGGUGUUGGGGAUCGGCGAGGCUGGUUUUCCAGCACAGCCGUCCCUUAAAUUAAUUGGCGGUCUCGCCGUGGCCCUCCUCUGCGCAGUAGUAAAACACUCGCAACAGGAGCCCGGCGCGGUCCACUGCCGUAAAACCCCCCAACUUUUUAUAGUUGACCUCGAAUCAGGUAGGACUACCCGCUGAACUUAAGCAUAUCAAUAGCGGAGGA
rnacentral:misc_RNA from 1 species